rnacentral:siRNA from 1 species
CCCAGUCCCGAACCCGUCGGC